rnacentral:rRNA from 1 species
GAUGAACGCUGGCGGCGUGCCUAAUACAUGCAAGUCGAGCGACCAGACGAUGAGCUUGCUCCUCUGACGUUAGCGGCGGACGGGUGAGUAACACGUGGAUAACCUACCUAUAAGACUGGGAUAACUUCGGGAAACCGGAGCCAAUACCGGAUCAUAUAUUGAACCGCAUGGUUCAAUAGUGAAUGACGGUUUUGCUGUCACUUAUAGAUGGAUCCGCGCCGCAUUAGCUAGUUGGUAAGGUAACGGCUUACCAAGGCGACGAUGCGUAGCCGACCUGAGAGGGUGAUCAGCCACACUGGAACUGAGACACGGUCCAGACUCCUACGGGAGGCAGCAGUAGGGAAUCUUCCGCAAUGGGCGAAAGCCUGACGGAGCAACGCCGCGUGAGUGAUGAAGGUCUUCGGAUCGUAAAACUCUGUUAUUAGGGAAGAACAAAUGUGUAAGUAACUAUGCACGUCUUGACGGUACCUAAUCAGAAAGCCACGGCUAACUACGUG